rnacentral:rRNA from 1 species
UUCCAGACUCCUACGGGAGGCAGCAGUGAGGAAUAUUGGUCAAUGGGCUUACGCCUGAACCAGCCAAGUCGCGUGAGGGAAGACUGCCCUAUGGGUUGUAAACCUCUUUUGUCAGGGAGCAAUUGGCGCUACGUGUAGCGUUAUCGAGAGUACCUGAAGAAAAAGCAUCGGCUAACUCCGUGCCAGCAGCCGCGGUCAUACGUAGGAUCCGAGCAUUAUCCGGAGUGACUGGGUGUAAAGAGUUGCGUAGGUGGCAUAAUAAGUAGCUAGUGAAAUCUGGUGGCUCAACCAUUCAGACUAUUAGCUAAACUGUUAAGCUCGAGACCGUUAGGGGUAACUGGAAUUUCUAGUGUAGGAGUGAAAUCCGUAGAUAUUAGAAGGAACACCAAUAGCGUAGGCAGGUUGCUGGGACGGUUCUGACACUAAGGCACGAAAGCGUAGGGAGCAAACGGGAUUAGAUACCCUAGUA